GUGACCACCGCCCCGGUAAUACCUAAGUGGCAAGCGUUGUCCCGAAUUAUUGGGCGUAAAGCGCGCGCAGGCGGUUUUUUAAGUUUGAUGUGAAAGCCCCCGGCUCAACCGGGGAGGGUCAUUGGAAACUGGGGAACUUGAGUGCAGAAGAGGAGAGUGGAAUUCCACGUGUAGCGGUGAAAUGCGUAGAGAUGUGGAGGAACACCAGUGGCGAAGGCGACUCUCUGGUCUGUAACUGACGCUGAGGCGCGAAAGCGUGGGGAGCGAACAGGAUUAGAUACCCUGGUAGUCC
rnacentral:rRNA from 1 species